CCUACGGGAGGCAGCAGUGAGGAAUAUUGGUCAAUGGGCGGAAGCCUGAACCAGCCAAGUAGCGUGCAGGAUGACGGCCCUAUGGGUUGUAAACUGCUUUUAUACGGGAAUAAAGUGCCUCACGUGUAGUGCUUUGUAUGUACCGCAUGAAUAAGGACCGGCUAAUUCCGUGCCAGCAGCCGCGGUAAUACGGAAGGUCCGGGCGUUAUCCGGAUUUAUUGGGUUUAAAGGGAGCGUAGGCCGCAUGUUAAGCGUGCCGUGAAAUGCCGGGGCUCAACCAGGGCCCUGCGGCGCGAACUGGCGUGCUGGAGUGCGCGGAACGCAGGCGGAAUUCGUGGUGUAGCGGUGAAAUGCUUAGAUAUGACGAAGAACCCCGAUUGCGAAGGCAGCAUACUGCAGCGGAACUGACGCUGAUGCUCGAAGGCGCGGGUAUCGAACAGGAUUAGAUACCCGAGUAGUC
rnacentral:rRNA from 1 species